CCUGAGCGGCGCGCGGCGGGGCCGUGACCUUGGGCGGGGCGGCUCUGGCUGGGGGCGGGGCCCCGGGGCGGCCCGGACUGUCCCCCCCCCCCCCCCCGUACCUCAGCCGUGUCACAGCCCGAGCCUGGGCCGGGAUUUACCGCCUGCCUCAGGUGUGUGUGUGUUAACACGCCUUAUACAGAUGAAAGCUGACAACUGAAUGAAAAUAAAUGGACUCCUGCUGCAUUUGUGUCUAAACACAGUUUAAAAGAUGGACUUUAAAAAGAAAUGUUUUGAUAAGCAACCGUAUUCUAAAAAAGAAGGCAUCUGUGGUAUCCUACCAUCUCAUUUGCCCACACUGACAUCAGCAAAGCUUAUCUUCACAUGUAUCAGAAUAACCGAUCCACCAAAAUGUUAUGGGGUGAGCUUAAUUAAUUCAUAUGUAUUAUGACUGUGCAAACCUGUCACAUUAUGUUUUUAAGGGAUGUUUGUGUCUGUUUUGCUUUGUGACUCUUAAGGCUCGCCCUGAGCUACAUUUGACCCUUACAUUUUAAUAAAUUAAACUAAAAAUGAUAUAACUUAAGUUACUUACUAGUAAUUUGUAAUAAAGUAUCUCUUAGGUGGGGAGUGAAAACAUGUAAAGAUUCUGAUGUUAAACAUUUUAGAACUUUGAAAGUAUACAACCAAAGGGUUGGUCAAAAAGAUUAAGGCAAAAGCAUACUAGUGUACACUGAUAAGAUAAAUUCGUAUAUUAAAUCAGUAAUGCUGGGGUUCUUGUCUGAAAUUCAGCAAAAAUAGUCAGAGAAUUCUAUGUCUAGAUCUCUUACCAACUCCAUAACUAAGAAUACAUCAGCCCUAUAUACUUACUGCGCCACAUCAUCACUUCCAGCAAAGAUGCUGGACAUCAUGAAUUAAAAUCCUUGGGACUUCCUUUUUGAUUAAUCUUGCUGGGCCUCAUGCUACAUAUAUGUCAGCCAUCCCUAUCUUUCUGUUACUUCCAUGCAUAUGUGCACAGCUUUCCCC